CUAACUUAUACCUCCCUCUCAACUGCCGUUCGCCUCGCCCGAUCACACUGUUCGUAACGCUUUCGUCACGUAUUCACGAGCUUACUCCACAAGUAAAACAUGCAUAAAAAGUUUUACUUCA